rnacentral:rRNA from 1 species
UUCGCCCUUAGAGUUUGAUCCUGGCUCAGAACGAACGCUGGCGGCAUGCCUAACACAUGCAAGUCGAACGAAGGCUUCGGCCUUAGUGGCGCACGGGUGCGUAACGCGUGGGAAUCUGCCCUUAGGUUCGGAAUAACAGCUGGAAACGGCUGCUAAUACCGGAUGAUAUCGCGAGAUCAAAGAUUUAUCGCCUGAGGAUGAGCCCGCGUUGGAUUAGGUAGUUGGUGGGGUAAAGGCCUACCAAGCCGACGAUCCAUAGCUGGUCUGAGAGGAUGAUCAGCCACACUGGGACUGAGACACGGCCCAGACUCCU